AGAGUUUGAUCCUGGCUCAGAUUGAACGCUGGCGGCAUGCUUUACACAUGCAAGUCGAACGGCAGCACGGGGGCAACCCUGGUGGCGAGUGGCGAACGGGUGAGUAAUGCAUCGGAACGUAUCCUUGAGUGGGGGAUAACGCAGCGAAAGUUGUGCUAAUACCGCAUAAGCUCUGAGGAGGAAAGCGGGGGACCGAAAGGCCUUGCGCAGCAGGAUGAGCCGAUGUCCGAUUAGCUGGUUGGUGGGGUAACGGCCCACCAAGGCGACGAUCGGUAGCUGGUCUGAGAGGAUGAUCAGCCACACUGGGACUGAGACACGGCCCAGACUCCUACGGGAGGCGAC
rnacentral:rRNA from 1 species